UUGGGCUAUCGCCAAGCGGUAAGGCACAAGGUUUUGAUCCUUGCAGUCGCUGGUUCGAAUCCAGCUAGCCCAGU
rnacentral:tRNA from 1 species